rnacentral:rRNA from 1 species
CGCGUGUACUGGUCCGGCCGGGCCUUUCCCUCUGUGGAACCCCAUGCCCUUCACUGGGUGUGGCGGGGAAACAGGACUUUUACUGUGAAAAAAUUAGAGUGCUCCAGGCAGGCCUAUGCUCGAAUACAUUAGCAUGGAAUAAUAGAAUAGGACGUGUGGUUCUAUUUUGUUGGUUUCUAGGACCGCCGUAAUGAUUAAUAGGGACAGUCGGGGGCAUCAGUAUUCAAUUGUCAGAGGUGAAAUUCUUGGAUUUAUUGAAGACUAACUACUGCGAAAGCAUUUGCCAAGGAUGUUUUCAUUAAUCAGGAACGAAAGUUAGGGGAUCGAAGACGAUCAGAUACCGUCGUAGUCUUAACCAUAAACUAUGCCGACUAGGGAUCGGACGGUGUUAUAUUUUGACCCGUUCGGCACCUUACGAGAAAUCAAAGUGCUUGGGCUCCAGGGGGAGUAUGGUCGCAAGGCUGAAACUUAAAGAAAUUGACGGAAGGGCACCACCAGGGGUGGAGCCUGCGGCUUAAUUUGACUCAACACGGGGAAACUCACCAGGUCCAGACACAAUGAGGAUUGACAGAUUAAGAGCUCUUUCUUGAUUUUGUGGGUGGUGGUGCAUGGCCGUUCUUAGUUGGUGGAGUGAUUUGUCUGCUUAAUUGCGAUAACGAACGAGACCUUAACCUGCUAAAUAGCCCGUAUUGCUUUGGCAGUACGCUGGCUUCUUAGAGGGACUAUCGG